rnacentral:rRNA from 1 species
GACGAACGCUGGCGGCGUGCCUAAUACAUGCAAGUCGAACGCAGUGGGGACGGGUGAGUAACACGUGGGUAACCUCCCAUCAGAGGGGAUAACACUUGGAAACAGGUGCUAAACCGAUACUGAUGGAUGGACCCGCGGUGCCUUAGCUAGUAGGGGGGGUAAAGGCUCACCUAGGCGACGAUCCCUAGCUGUUCUGAGAGGAUGACCAGCCACACGGGAACUGAGACACGGCCCAGACUCCUACGGGAGGCAGCAGUAGGAAAUCUUCGGCAAUGGACGAAAGUCUGACCGAGCAACGCCGCGUGAGUGAAGAAGGUUUUCGGAUCGUAAAACUCUGUUGUUAGAGAAGCGGUAUCUAACCAGAAAGCCACGGCUAACUACGUGCCAGCAGCCGCGGUAAUUC